UGCUGCUUCUUGGAAGAGUAUGGCCUAGAAAAGAAAAAAAAGAAGACAUUAUAAUUACAGCCUAAACUGUGAAUUGAGGAAUUAUAGCUAUUUAUUAAGACAGUCUGGUAUGAGCAAAAUGGAUGGAUUUGAGCGGUGAAAAGUCAGUGCGAAAAGUUAUCCCCUCAUGCUACUUCUGGGCACCCAAAUCCACGUCAGUGCCUGUCCUUAUGUCAAUGUGUGCUGCCAUAUUACAUUCUUUAAAGAAAGGCCUUUAUGAUCACAA